UCACCCUUUUUUUUUUUAUUCUUGGCAGGAAAAGCUUCGGGCGCCGCCCGGACAGGGUGGGGGAGGGGCGGGGAAAUCCCCUCCCCCACUCCCCCCAUGGCCCCUCCCCACCCCCAAAAAACUUGGCCCCCCCCCCCGGCCCAACACAAAGCACAUUUGCAUAGAUCGGGUUCAAAAGGAACCAAUUUUACAAUGAGGGGGGGAGGGGGAGAAACGCCCCUCCCCCACACCCCCCAGGCCCCGCCCACCCCCGCCCCCCCGACUCUGCUGGGCACGGUCCUGAAACAAGAUGGCCGCCGGGAGGCAAGGAUGGCCGCCGGGAGUCACGGGAGUUGCAAGGAACCAAGAUGGCCGCCGGGUUGUGUGGGUCAGCUCGUAGUUCAAGAUGGCCGCCGGGAACCAAGAUGGCCGCCGGGUUUUGUGAUCUGCUCACAGUCAAGAUGGCGCCGGGAGUGACGGGAGUUGGUGGGAGUCAAGAUGGCCGCCGGAAAUCAAGAUGGCCGCCGGGAUUUGUGGUCUGCUUCGUAGUCAAGAUGGCCGCCGGGAAUCAAGAUGGCCGCCGGGAUUUGGGGUCUGCUCGUAGUCAAGAUGGCCGCCGGGAAUCAAGAUGGCCACCGGGAGUGACGGGAGUUGGUGGCAGCCAAGAUGGCCACCGGGUUUUGUGGGUCAGUCCAUAGCCAAGAUGGCCGCCAGGAAUCAAAAUGGCCGCCAGGACUCCCAGAGGUUACCAAAAAUCAAAAUGGCCGCCGGGUUUCAGCGUUUGAGGUCAAGAUGGCCGCCAGGUCACGUGACGAUCAGAUCAAGAUGGCCGCCAGGAAACAAGAUGGCUGCGGGGUUCAAGAUGGCGGCUGGGCGGAGCCAAGAUGGUCGCCCCAGAGCCACAAAAUGGCUGCCGCCGAUGACGCUGCUGAUUUCAAUGGACGUCGGCCAUCUUGGGAUCACUGCGGCAGCCAUCUUGGGGUCAUUGAAAGGUCACCCCCCCGGCAGCCAUCUUGGAACAGGCCUGGCGGCCAUUUUGUGACCCUGCCCCAUUUCAUGGCGGCCAUAUUGGGGUCAUUGAAAGGUCACUGUGGUGGCCAUAUUGGGGUCAAUCAAAGGUCACCGUGGCAACCAUAUUGGGGUCAAUCACAGCUCCCCCUGUCGGCCAUAUUGGAGUCACCCACAGACCACGUGACCACAGCCAGGCCACUGGCGGCCAUUUUGUCCCCCAUCAACCGUUCCACACUUACCCCGGCGGCCAUUUUGUGCCCCUCCCACAAUCGCCGGCCAUUUUCCCCCUUUCCCGCCACCAUCUUGCCCCGCCCAUCACGUCUUGCCCUUCCUCCCCCUGAGCCCCGCCCCCACCCCGGCGGGCGGGUCCUGUGGGGCCGCCCCUCCCCCAGCCUGGGCGGGGCCAGCGCAGCGCCGGGGCGGCUGCGUCCGGCGGGGCGGGGCCAAGGGGGAGCCCCGCCCACGCCGCCUCCUCUUGGUGGGGCGGGGCCUGCGUUAGCCCCGCCCCCUCUCCUCCUUUUCACCGGGGGUUGGGGGAGGGGCUCCCUGCGCCUGGCCACGCCCCCUCCCGAUGCGGCCACGCCCUCCUCGCUGCUGUCAUCGGGUGGGCGUGGCCUCCUCCGUGGCUCCCUCUGAAGGGGCGGAGCCAAGGGCGCUCCGGGGCGGGCCCGGGUGGAUCUGGGCGGGGCCGGCGAUGGUGGGCGGGGACUCGCCGACUCCUCCCCCUCCCCUCCCCCGCCGCGCUCGGGCGACGCCAUCUUGGGCGCCCGGCCGCUUCGAGGCGGGGACUCCUCCUCGGCCCCGCCCCCCGCGCCCCGCAUCGGCCGCCCGCGGCAGCGCGGCACGCCCCCCUCCUGCGGGCUGCAGGCGGCCCAGAUGGCGUGGCCGCCUCCUGGCCCUGGCCCCGCCCCCUCCCAGCAGCCUCCGCUUGGGCAGGCGGCCCCGGCAGCUUAUAAUGG
rnacentral:lncRNA from 1 species